UGUUUCUGUACAUAUGUGUGCGAGCCAAGGGGUGUCUGGGUGGGAUGUAUUCAGGGCCAACAAACCCGACGUAUUCCCCUGAAACAGUUCACAGUAGGGACCCCAGUCUCCUUAUACAAUCCCCUCUCAUUGCGUCUUUGCACCCCUCCCCAUGGCUGACGGAAUAAAUGGCUGCAGAGACCUCCUAAAGCCCUUCCAUAGCCCUCAUCCCUGGUUUUCCAAGCCUUGAACUCCGCAAUCAUUGUUCUGCCGAACUUCACUCUCCAUCUACUCCUGGAAUGCAGGAGAGUUUCAGAUACCCGGACCAAGGUAGACAGGGCCAUAUACACAAGUCAGA